CCUACGGGGGCAGCAGUGGGGAAUAUUGGACAAUGGGGGCAACCCUGAUCCAGCCAUGCCGCGUGUGUGAAGAAGGCCCUCGGGUUGUAAAGCACUUUCAGUGAGGAAGAACGCCUGGUGGUUAAUACCCAUCAGGAAAGACAUCACUCACAGAAGAAGCACCGGCUAACUCCGUGCCAGCAGCCGCGGUAAUACGGAGGGUGCGAGCGUUAAUCGGAAUUACUGGGCGUAAAGCGCGCGUAGGUGGCUUGAUAAGCCGGUUGUGAAAGCCCCGGGCUCAACCUGGGAACGGCAUCCGGAACUGUCAAGCUAGAGUGCAGGAGAGGAAGGUAGAAUUCCCGGUGUAGCGGUGAAAUGCGUAGAGAUCGCGAGGAAUACCAGUGGCGAAGGCGGCCUUCUGGACUGACACUGACACUGAGGUGCGAAAGCGUGGGUAGCAAACAGGAUUAGAUACCCUAGUAGUC
rnacentral:rRNA from 1 species